CACAUGCUCAGAUAAGGAGUUUGUUUUGUUUAAAAUAAUGCUACCUUAUAGUUACAGCAAGUUUAGAUUUAAUUGCUCUGUUUGGUACCGAACUCAGCUUGCAUUCUGGUCAGCACUGCCUCUGAAGCUGCAUUCCGGAAGGAAGUUGCUUGUUAUUUUGAAUAAGCAAGCUUCAUGAAUAAAAUGCUGACCUACUGUCUGCUCUCCACACUGCUACACUGGUUAGCACACUGUAAUUGCAAAACACUUUGCUAGAGCCUUUUGCCGAAUUUCCCUCAAAAGAGGCAAGUUUUGAUUUUUUUUUUUUUUUGUCAAGCAUAUACCCUCCGAUUUAGCUGUUCACCAUCUUUGUAAUCUACUGGGACUGUGAUGUAACCUCUGGCAUCUAAGAUUCUUCAGGCUUGUUAAUAACCACCAGCUACAGCUGAGAGAAAAGCAAGAAUGCAAGGUUUGGAUAGAUAAUGGCAGUGGAAGGAAGGAGCUGGGAAGAUAAUUAAAACAAUGACAUUCUAAGGUAGCUGAAGUUUCCCUUUUAUUGAAAAUAUUUGAGAAUCUUUAGGAUCUCCAAUUUUCUGCUCUCAGUAAUUUUUCUCAACAAAUUAUUCCACUACUGCCUCACGGAAGCAUAAACCACUGUCUCCAGUGCUUGGAGAAAUCACAAAAUUUCAAAAAACAGCCACAAUCAUUGUUUUCAAAAAAUGUAUGUUAAAAUUAAUUUAUAGUUAAGUUUACUUUUUACCCUUUAUAUCAGAAGAGGCCAUUUAUUAUUUAUUUAUUUCAGAAUUAUUUCUUUCCUAUUUUUAUUGUAUGUAUUUAUCAUGUACAACAUGAUGUUUUGAAGUAAGUAUACAUUGUGGAAUGGCUAAAUCAAGCUAAGCAUAUGCAUUACCUCACAUACUUAUCUUUUUUUUGUGGUGAGAACACUUAACAUCUACUCUCAUGUUUGAGUUCCUUAUGUAUGUUAGAUAUUAACUCCUUAUCAGAUAUAGUUUGAAAAUACUUUCUACCUUUUGUUGUCUGUGUUGGCAAUUUUCAAGAAUACAAUACAUUGUUAUUAACUAUAGUCAUCACAUUGUACAAUCGGGUCUCUUGAAUUUAUUCCUUCUGUCUAACUGAAAUUUUGUAUCCUUUGACCAACAUCUCUCUAAUCCCAUUCUACUCUCUACAUCUAUGAGUUCAGCUUUGUCUAUUAUACACACAAGUGAGAUCGUGUAGUGUUUGCCUUUCUCUUCCUGGCUUAUUUCAAUCCUGCAGUUCCAUCCAUGUUGUCACAAAUGAUAAGAUUUUCUUCUUUAUAAAGGCUGUAUAGUUCUUCAUCAUGUAGAUGCACCACAUUUUAAAAAAUCCUUUCAUCCAUUGGUGGACACUGAGAUUAUUUCCAUAUCUUGGUUUGGAACAGGAAUUAAAGGAAAUUAAAGAAUGUGUAAGCAGAAACUCAGCUGCAUGUAAGAAAACCCAGUUCCCCCCCAGAAAAAGAAAGAGCUGGAGUCCUUUAAAAAUUAACUGCCUGUUUUUCUGUGGCUAGUGAGCCUUAUCUCUCCUCCUUUCCCAGGCAUUGUGAAGACCCUGUUUCUCUAGCUGUGCAGCUGCAAGGUCACUCGACAGAUAAACUCAAGUUGUAAAACAUGUUUUUCCUUGAAAAGUAAGAAAUGAUGUAAUGGAUGUCUCAAUUAAUUGAAUAACUGUCUUUGUUUCUCGCUCCUGUAAUAUGCUUCCUCCUGCACAGAUCUCCCCCUGCCCCACGAAAUGCUUAAAAGGUAACUUAACUUUUUGUUCAGGGCUCAGUCCCUUGGAUGUUAAACCAACUGGGCCGGUGCACCUAAAUAAUAAAUAUCCCCCUGAACCUCAUCAGUCUCUCUGAUUCCUUGUCAAUCCCACUACAGGUUAUUGUGAACAAUACUAAAAUCAACAUGGAAUUGUAGACAUCUCUUCAACAUACUGAUGUCAAUUCCUUUGGAUAUAUACCAGUCGUGGGAUUGUUGGAUCAUAUGGUAGUUCUAUUUUUAAUUGUUGAAGAAACUUCAUACUGUUUUCUAUAACAGUUGUACUAAUUUAUGUUCCCACCAACAGUAUGCAAAGGUUCCCUUUUCUCUAUAUACUUGACAGUGACAGAGCAGGGGCACUGUCAUCUUGGACAAACACUGUCACUUUAAGUUCCAGCUCCAUUUUUAGCCUCAUGAAUUUCAAGGAAAUCACUUCUCUUCUAACAGCAAGCAGCCAGAAAGAGAGACAGUAAAACACAGAUAAGACAGCUGGAGCACAGAGGGAGAGGGGAAAGUCUUUUGAGUAACUGCCAAACUUCACACUCAUACAAUGGGCCCCAGUAAAACAGUGGGCCCUAAUAAGCACAUUCCUUUCCCUUUAGGUGCACUAAGAUAGGAAAGCCAAAAUCAGACUUGGAGGGUAUGCCUGUAGCUUCAGGAAGAUGUAUGGGAACAGACAAAAACUCUCUCUCCAAGAUAAGUAUGACAAAGAGGCACAGAAACAGUCCAAGCCUCUGAUAAGCUCUCCUGCCCUGAACCCUUAAAAACUCUUAGUCUGUAAGAGAGAGUGCCUCUGACCUAACUAGGCCAGAAGCCCCUCUCAGGUUGAUUCUUCAAAAUAAAGCUGCCUUUGACUGUUAAGCCACUAUUUGUGUUUCUUUCCUCUUUCUUUAGUUCUUACAGACAGCACUGGUUGUCUUCCCUUUUUAAAAUAAUAGAAAAUGUAACAAGUGUGAGGUGAUAUCUCAUUAUGGUUUCAAUUUGCAUUUCUCUGAAGAUUAGUGAUGUUGAUCAUUUUUUCAAAUACUUUUUGGCCAUUUGUAUGUCUUCUUUUAAGAAAUG
rnacentral:lncRNA from 10 species